UCCCUGAUGGCCUAGUGGUUAGGAUUUGGUGCUGUCACCACCGCAGCCUGGGUUCAAUUCCCAGUCAGGGAA